CGCGUAUAUUAUGCUGUCUACAAGAAAUUCAGUCUCACUCCUUGUUUCUUAAAGUUCUUUAAGUUUAAUCAACAAAAGUGUAGAAACAGGUUAAAAUUACUGGGAGGAGGAGACAUACGGUGAGACUGACAGUAAAAUCAAGUCCAAAUGUCAAUGAUCCAGAAGUGUAGAACAAGAUUUUAGCGAAGAUUGAGCAGAUGCUGGAAGAGAAUGGCUUCACGGAAGAUGUUGAACUGUCAUAUAGAAACCAAUCCGAUGGGAAUUUCCAAAAGACGGAGCAGAAAACGAACAUCACUGAACCCUUUGAAAAGUGAAGACUUAAAAACUUCACUGUUCAGUCAUAAAAUAAAACUUUAUUAAUCCUCUAUAAAAUAAUAAUAGCCAAAGAAGACAUUUGAUUCAGCAGAAUUGCUCAUUUUAGCUGAGUUACAUUUACGUUUAGGUGCUUUUAUCCAAAGUGACACUUACGAAUGAGAAACAUAACAAUUUAUCACACAGCAACAAUAUUCAAGGUUUGUAAACACUAGACUAGUAAACCAAUAAAUAAAUAAAUGGGAGUUGUAGUAUAUGUAAUAUUUUAGUUUAUCUAAUCAUCAUGUAGCUGUUUACCACCAUAAUGCAGAUAUGCA